rnacentral:lncRNA from 1 species
AACAAAAGUAAUAAAAAUGUUUCAGUACAAAUUCUUGUUCUUAUUUUUACUAUUUCACAUGUUCCUGAUCGAUUUGAUGAAUUCUCUCGAGUAUCAUAUACAAACCUCAAAUGUCUAUUCUCAUACUCUCGAAAGUCAUAAAUGCACUCGAAUAUCAAUCAUCAUUUUAAAAUAUAAUCGAACACACAAAAGAUUAUAGAUACACUCGAAUAUCGU